AUACGUAGGGGGCGAGCGUUGUCCGGAAUGAUUGGGCGUAAAGGGCGCGUAGGCGGCUUUGCAAGUCAGUAGUGGAAGUCCAUUUUUCAAGGAUGGAAGUGCUACAGAAACUGCGGAGCUUGAGUGCAGGAGAGGUUAUCGGAAUUCCCGGUGUAGCGGUGAAAUGCGUAGAGAUCGGGAGGAACACCAGUGGCGAAGGCGGGUAACUGGACUGCAACUGACGCUGAGGCGCGAAAGUGUGGGGAGCAAACAGGAUUAGAUACCCUGGUAGUCCACACCGUAAACGAUGAGCACUAGGUGUCGGGCUCGCAAGAGUUCGGUGCCGCAGUUAACGCAUUAAGUGCUCCGCCUGGGGAGUACGUACGCAAGUAUGAAACUCAAAGGAAUUGACGGGG
rnacentral:rRNA from 1 species